rnacentral:rRNA from 1 species
AUAAUGGGUCAGCGACUUAUAUUCUGUAGCAAGGUUAACCGAAUAGGGGAGCCGAAGGGAAACCGAGUCUUAACUGGGCGUUAAGUUGCAGGGUAUAGACCCGAAACCCGGUGAUCUAGCCAUGGGCAGGUUGAAGGUUGGGUAACACUAACUGGAGGACCGAACCGACUAAUGUUGAAAAAUUAGCGGAUGACUUGUGGCUGGGGGUGAAAGGCCAAUCAAACCGGGAGAUAGCUGGUUCUCCCCGAAAGCUAUUUAGGUAGCGCCUCGUGAAUUCAUCUCCGGGGGUAGAGCACUGUUUCGGCAAGGGGGUCAUCCCGACUUACCAACCCGAUGCAAACUGCGAAUACCGGAGAAUGUUAUCACGGGAGACACACGGCGGGUGCUAACGUCCGUCGUGAAGAGGGAAACAACCCAGACCGCCAGCUAAGGUCCCAAAGUCAUGGUUAAGUGGGAAACGAUGUGGGAAGGCCCAGACAGCCAGGAUGUUGGCUUAGAAGCAGCCAUCAUUUAAAGAAAGCGUAAUAGCUCACUGGUCGAGUCGGCCUGCGCGGAAGAUGUAACGGGGCUAAACCAUGCACCGAAGCUGCGGCAGCGACGCUUAUGCGUUGUUGGGUAGGGGAGCGUUCUGUAAGCCUGCGAAG